rnacentral:sRNA from 1 species
CUGCUCUGACGACAGCAGUGCUUGUGUUUUACAGUAUGCCCUGGAGCGCUUAAAGGUCAUGUGUGAGGAUGCCCUCUGCAGUAACCUGUCCGUGGAGAAUGCUGCAGAAAUUCUCAUCCUGGCUGACCUCCACAGCGCAGAUCAGUUGAAAACUCAGGCAGUGGAUUUCAUCAACUAUCAUGCUUCAGAUGUCUUGGAGACCUCCGGGUGGAAGUCAAUGGUGGUGUCACAUCCCCACUUGGUGGCUGAGGCAUACCGCUCUCUGGCUUCAGCACAGUGCCCUUUUCUGGGACCCCCACGCAAACGCCUGAAGCAAUCCUAAGAUCCUGCUUGUUGUAAGACUCUGUUUAAUUUCCAGAAGCAGCAGCCACUGUUGCUGCCACUGACCACCAGGUAGACAGCGCAAUCUGUGGAGCUUUUA